UACGGAGGGUGCAAGCGUUAUCCGGAUUCACUGGGCUUAAAGGGUGCGUAGGAGGGCAGGUAAGUCAGUGGUGAAAUCUCCGAGCUUAACUUGGAAACUGCCAUUGAUACUAUCUGUCUUGAAUAUUGUGGAGGUGAGCGGAAUAUGUCAUGUAGCGGUGAAAUGCUUAGAUAUGACAUAGAACACCAAUUGCGAAGGCAGCACGCUACACAUAUAUUGACUCUGAGGCACGAAAGCGUGGGGAUCAAACAGG
rnacentral:rRNA from 1 species